CUCCCCGAUUCCAUCACAGAGGCGUCGCUGUCAGCAGAUGUGGUGUGUGGAUCUUUAGACGUUGUUGGUCAGAAUAUCAUAAAGUCGCACACUUUGACAAGUUCAUCAGCUGGUAACAAACCUGUUCACAGCUCAGAUCCAGACUCAGAUUUGGUGCCUUUCAGCGUCUGAAGAUGUGUUCGAGUCUCUCCACCAGCCGCCUGAUUCUGCUGAUCUCCCUGAGUGUGAUGAUGCUCAUCUCUGUAUCAGGAGCUGACCACGUGGGGAUACGCUGCUAUAAAAACCAUUCUAACCAAAGUACAAGAACCACGUUUGCACCUAAAUGUGCAAAAAACAUCAUCAGCUGCUUUGAACGCGACAGACCAGACUGCCUUCCUGGCUAUGAGGUUAAAAUAAGCAGUGGAAGAACAUUUUCCUCAGACCAAACACCGAGUGGCUUAAAAGGAAAAUAAAUGAGAGAACUCUGCUGUGUCCUCCAAUGUUUUCAGCUUAAAUAACUGAAGCUAUUAAUCUUUAAUGAGUCCUCCCACUAUAGUUUGUAUAUUCCAGCUGCACCACAGUGUUUAGAAGCAGUGACUAAAUGUCAUCUUACAUGUCUCGUAGGUUUCUUAAUUCACACGCUGAUUUUCAUAGAUUUAAUCUAAGUAAAGAUGAUGAAAACGAUGAAACAAAGUUAAAGUAAAGCAGCUGCUGGAAACAUUUCUGCUCAUUUAUUAGUUCACACUUUGACAGAAAUAUUUGUUAAGAAAUGUAAAUUAUUUUUGCAAAUUAUUCAUAGCGCUUUAACAGUCUUGUGUUCACAUAUAUAUACAAUACAAAACAAUUUUACUAUAUAACAUGUUUAAAAC